UGCCGUUGCUGUGGAAGUCCUGUGGCGAGUGGAACUCAAUGCUCCGUAGUGGGAAUCAAUAUGACGAAAAGCUUACCCAUAUCCUAUCUGGCCAGUGAUUUCCCUGAGAAGAGAUAUGAUUUCAUUACCCUCCAUUUACUUCUAGAAUGGCCUUCGUUUUGAGACGUGAUGACAUCUUAUCCUUGGAGUAGGAAUGCUGGGUACUGACUCCUGCUCCCAGUGUCUAACUUUACACAGGUCUGGCAUUGGGCCUAGAGAGAAGACAGAGCCAAGAGACACACUCUCUCUUGCAUA